GUCACUACUCUUUUCUGCUCAUACAAACACAUAGCUAAACACAUUUCUAAAACAAAGCACUAGCUAAAGAAGCAAGAAACAGAGCAAAACAGAGAGAGUAAGAGAGAUGGAGGAGAAGCUGAACCAAACCCAAACCUCUAAAACCCAAACAGCAACUGUAUUUCCUAAAAAGAGGAAGUUAGUGAAGAGAUUGAUGUUUGAAUUUUUUCUCUCUAUUUUCAGCUGUUCUUCCCCUAAACCCCAAGAAGACAAGGAGAUUUGUAAUGGUCACAUGUGAAGAAGUUCUGAUGUUUUUACGGAGAUCUAUAGUUUGAAGAAUGUUUCUGGAAAUCAAAUAUGAGGGAAAAAGAAAAGGUAAGGAGAAAAAGUGAUCGAUGUAAUAUUAUUAGUUUCAUCGGUAAAUAUAAACUAUGGGAGUUGAACCGGUUCGACUCAAUAAAAAAUCCAAGUCGCCAACGAAGGGCGAGCGUAGAUGUCUUAAUGGUGCAAUCGGUGGUGGUGGUAUUGGCAGAGGCAGCGGUGGUGGGCAUCUUACUGGAGGUGUUAGUAGCGGUCUUGGUAGUGGUCAGUUGUGCUUGCUGACGAUGGCGCUGGGAAAGUGAUUUUAAUGGAAUCAAGCCCUCUUCAGAAACUAGGCGGGUAUAUGAGAUUUUUUUUUUUUUUCUUUUAUUAGAGUUGAGCCGGUUCGACUCUCCAACCUAAACAUGCCCUGGGUUAUUCUGAUAAAAUUAAUUUUUUUUCUUUUUUGACAUGCUGAUAAAAUUAAGUUGAUUUUGUAAUUCCUCUGCUUUUAUGAUUUACAUCAAUGAAACCAUAAUCUAGUAUGGUUAUACUUA